UUUUAUUUUUCUCUUUCAAAAUUUGACAACACAUAAUCACGUUAAUACCACCGAAGUGAGAAAAAGCAGAUAUAUUUUCACAUUACAUGUUUACCUUCUGACACUGCGUUGUGCGUAGCACUGCAGUUCUUUGUGUGCAUGAGAAAUAAUACUGUGCUCUGUUCCCUGCUAGUCUAUGUUUAUCUAAAUAUCUGAUGCUGUCUCAUCACAGCUUAGCAGGUCUGGGAGGCUUGGCAAACUCUUAGGUAAACUAUGUGAUACAGCAAAUAAUUAUUCCCUUCUCCCUUUUGAGCUUAAGGAGCCAAUAAGACCUGUAAAAUGGACAAGCUCCACUGACAGAGGUCUAAUUUGGCUGAAGGCACUUGCAGGUACAACCUUGAAUCACUCUAUGAUUAAUGUUUGUUGUGUCAUGUUCUUUGGAAGGAAAAUAAAAUGAGGAAGACUUUCUUCACUUUUGAUCAGAAGGCACAUAAUUAAAAAGUAAAAUGCUACUGCAUCUGCAAAGAAAUCAGUCACUUUAAUUGGAAGGAAGAUUCCUUCCCUCUGUUAGUAAUUGGGCUUUUGGUAAUUUAGAAUCAGAAUCCAUGACAGUUUGUGAUAAAUUGGCUCCUUUUGGGCUAAAGAAGGUAAGAAGUUCUAAUUACCCUUGGAUCAUUCCAGAGUAGAUGGAAAAAGCUUGAUCAAAGAGAUGUUGGGAGAGAGAUAGAAGAGCUAGCAGUGAGCAAAGAUUUAUUGAAUUUCUUUUUAAGAAGAUAAAGAAUAAAAUAGUUCAUUUGAUGUGACAAAAACUAUAGCUUGUGGUAUUUGAAAUCCCAGAGAUGUAAAUUUGAUUUUCUAAGAACUGGGUAUAUUAGAAAAAGUUUAUGGACAAAGAGGUUCUAUAGUUAAGUUAUAGAAAUUUGCCUUGUUUACUUGUUAGCACAUGAGAAUAUUGAUGACAUUGGCCUUCACUUGGGGAAA
rnacentral:lncRNA from 1 species